GUCUUCGUGGCUCAGUUGGUUAGAGCGUUGGUCUCAUAGUUCUAUGACUCAACCAUUAGGUUGGGAUAUCCAAAGGUCGUGAGUUCGAGCCUCACCGAGGACA